rnacentral:rRNA from 1 species
GACAGAGGGGGCAAGCGUUGCUCGGAAUUACUGAGCGUAAAGGGCGCGUAGGCGGAAUGGCAAGUCGGUCGUGAAAUCCUUCGGCUCAACCGAAGAACGUCGAUCGAAACUGCCGUUCUUGAGGAUUGCAGAGGAGACUGGAAUUCCCGGUGUAGCGGUGAAAUGUGUAGAGAUCGGGAGGAACACCGGUGGCGAAGGCGGGUCUCUGGGCCAGCACUGACGCUGAGGCACGAAAGCGUGGGGAGCAAACAGG